rnacentral:lncRNA from 1 species
ACUUACAACUGUAAAUGUCUGACACAAAUGUACUUCAUCAUUCCUUGGAAAGCCCUGUGUUAAUUGUGCACAGAUGUCGUACAUUAUGUUUUGCACUGGCUUCAUACCCCUCAGUUAUUUUAGUAGUACCGUAUCAUUAUCUCUGAGAUGUGUCCCAGAGCGCCUCAGUUCACUUCUUGGAUCAUUUUUUACAUUCAACGGACAAAGACGUUUUCAGAGAAGAAAGGGGGAAACAAAAACCAUCGUCUUGUGUUUUUCAGACAUUUGGCAAAGCUGUCAACUUUUGUGUGUUCUCAAAGUUUUAUAUUGUGUGUGUGUGCGUGUGCGUGCCCAGGUGUGGCUAAAGCAAAUUCCUAGCUAAUGAUAGGUUUGUCCCUCCAUGCGCCGUCAAGUAUGGUAAACUUAUUUUGACCCACAGUUGGUGAAGGCAAAUGUUCUUUGCUGGAAAGCUGAGUAGGUUGUAUGUAGUUUAGACCCGUAGACUCUUAUUUCAUACAAGGGGAGGGACUACUAGAAGAAAGGAAGGAGAGGACCAGGGGAGAGAGAUAGGGGGGGAGAAAGAGACAGAGGUGGAGAGAUAGAGACAGCGAGGGAUAGAGAGAGAGAGACAAAGAAGGAGGAAGAGAGAGAGGCAGGCGAACAGAGAGAUCUGGCUGUAUGUUCACUUUGUGUGAAUCAGUUAGCGAGCCAGUCAGUCAGUCAGUCAGUGAGCCAGUCAGUCAGUGAGCCAAGCCGUGUAAACAGGAGUAAACGUGGGGAACCUCUCUCAUCCUGUUGAUGGAAUUCCUAGCAGCUCCAUGCUCUCCUCCCAGGCACUGAAACACACAGCAGAGAACAGCAGUCCAAAGGAUGCAAGUUUUCAAGUCCUUCCUGGGAAAACUGAAGCCRGAUUCAAGGAUUUCCAGAGGCAGCAUUGACCGGGACGACGGCAUCCUCCACGGACCAGUAAGUCUCCUCUUGUUACCUGGUUUCCCUGCAUGGAAUAACAGUCAACGCUAUCUCCUGUUCUCUUUAUCUCUCUCACAAAUAUGCAAAAUACCUUGGGCUUUCACUCAAAAGAAGUUAAAGACAUUUUGUCUGGAGGGGGGGUUCCCGUCAAUGUCUCUCUGCUGUCUGUACUUGUUGUACCACUCCUAGCCUUGGGUUGUGUAUGAGUUAUACAGUGAGUCAGUGAGUAUUACAGUAGUCAGUCCUACAGUGGGAGAGAACACUCCCAGACAGCCUGUGUAGUAACUCUAGAGGCUCAAGUCAAUCAAACCAGUAUUUCUGUAUUUACGCUGUAGUGCAGUAUAUUAGCAGGCAUAAAUGUUUUCCUGACUGAAUGGUUUUGUGGUAAAAUAGCAACAGGCCCCCUGACAGAUAGAUGCUAUCAGUUUUUAAAACACGACUUUGGCUCAGAGAGCUUCAACAUAUAAAUGCAUAAUAGAUACAGUGCAUUCGGAAAGUGUUCAGACCCCUUCUGUUUUUCCACAUUUAGUUACGUUACAACCUUAUUCCAACAUGUAUUAAAUUGUCACGUUCGUCGUAACGAGGAGACCAAGGCGCAGCGUGAUGAGAAUUACAGUCCUCUUUAUUAAAGGAAGAGCACUUAAACUAACAAAACAACAAAACAAACGUGAAGCUAUAAACACUGGUGCUGACACAGGCAACUAGACAUAGACAAUAACCCACCAAAUACCCAAGGAAUAUGGCUACCUAAAUAUGGUCCCCAAUCAGAGACAACGAUAAACAGCUGCUUCUGAUUGAGAACCAAUCUAGGCAACAAUAGACAUAAAAACACCUAGACUAGAAACAAGCCCAUAAACAUACAAAAACCCUAGACAGGACAAAAACACAUAUAGAUCCUUCGUCACACACCUGACCUACCAAAAUAAUAAAGAAAACUAAGUCAGGGCGUGACAUACAUAAAUACAAAUUCCCAUCAAUCUACACACAAUACCCCAUAAUGACAAAGCGUAAACAGUUUUUUGAAUUUUUUUCAAAUUUAUUAAAAAUAGAAAACGGAAAUACCUAUUUUACAUAAGUAUUCAGACCCUAGCUAAAAACUCAAAGCACUCAGGUGCAUCCUGUUUCCAUUGACAUCCUUGGAGAUGUUUCUACAACAUGAUUGUUGUCCAGCUGUGGUAAAUUCAAUUGAUUGGACAUGAUUUGGAAAGGCACACACUGUCUAUAUACGGU